AAUGCAUGCAGUAAUUGUAUUUUAAUUUCAGUAGCUAAAUAAGGAGGUACAUAUAUCAAUAUGUUGUGUUGAUUUGUUAUGCAUGCCUGCAUCCUGGGAGAAGGGGAGUGUGUACUUACGUUUUGCCCGGCGUGCUCGUGCUCAAAUCAUUUUGAUGCACUGAGAGAGAUGCAGGAUGCAGAGUCAGUUCUGCUUGAUUAAAACUACCUGAUCUCCAAAGUCCACGUUUAUAGUCUAUCAACCACACACAACGCAGAGUUACUGCACCGGCUACAUUGGUGCCUUCUAGACCCGGAUUCAUCGUUGAUCGACGUCAGCUCAAUCACCGCGGCGCUGCUGCUCUAGAGACUAAUUAUAUCAUUGAGGUACUCUUGCCGCCUUGUGGCAAAAAUCGGAACUACAAGUCUCUUUUUUUCCUUUUUAUUUUUUUUCUGACAACGAUGUAUCGAGAGCGCUGUUUAUCGUUAACCAACAUAGAAGUGUGUUCAUCAACAGACAUUUUAACGUAACUUUAGUGGCAUGGCAUCUUAUAAUGGUGAUGAACCUAAAUUCACUGCUGGGAGG
ensembl:lncRNA